UUAAGCAGCCAUAUCACCCUGCAACUCACAACUGGCAGCCCACUGAAGCUCAGCAGGUGUGAGCCUGGUCAGUACCUGGAUGGGAGACCUCCUGGGAAAAACUAAGAUUGCUGCUGGAA
ensembl:rRNA 5S_rRNA 5S ribosomal RNA